rnacentral:rRNA from 1 species
GCAAGUCGGACGGGAUCCAUCGGAGAGCUUGCUCGAAGAUGGUGAGAGUGGCGCACGGGUGCGUAACGCGUGAGCAACCUGCCUCUAUCAGGGGGAUAGCCUCUCGAAAGAGAGAUUAACACCGCAUAACAUCAACAGUUCGCAUGUUCGGUUGAUUAAAUAUUUAUAGGAUAGAGAUGGGCUCGCGUGACAUUAGCUAGUUGGUAGGGUAACGGCCUACCAAGGCGACGAUGUCUAGGGGCUCUGAGAGGAGAAUC